AGUACGGCGGAACACGAGAAAUUCCGUCGGAAUCCGCGGGGACCAUCCCGCAAGGCUAAAUACUCCCUAGUGACCGAUAGUGAACCAGUACCGUGAGGGAAAGGUGAAAAGCACCCCGGAAGGGGAGUGAAAUAGAUCCUGAAACCGUGUGCCUACAACAAGUCAAAGCUCGUUAAUGAGUGAUGGCGUGCCUUUUGUAGAAUGAACCGGCGAGUUACGAUUGCAUGCGAGGUUAAGUCGAAGAGACGGAGCCGCAGCGAAAGCGAGUCUGAAUAGGGCGAAUGAGUAUGUAGUCGUAGACCCGAAACCAUGUGAUCUACCCAUGUCCAGGUUGAAGGUGCGGUAAAACGCACUGGAGGACCGAACCCACGUACGUUGAAAAGUGCGGGGAUGAGGUGUGGGUAGCGGAGAAAUUCCAAACGAACUUGGAGAUAGCUGGUUCUCUCCGAAAUAGCUUUAGGGCUAGCCUCGGAAUUGAGAAUGAUGGAGGUAGAGCACUGUUUGGACUAGGGGCCCAUCUCGGGUUACCGAAUUCAGAUAAACUCCGAAUGCCAUUCAUUUAUAUCCGGGAGUCAGACUGCGAGUGAUAAGAUCCGUAGUCGAAAGGGAAACAGCCCAGACCACCAGCUAAGGUCCCAAAAUAUAUGUUAAGUGGAAAAGGAUGUGGGGUUGCACAGACAACUAGGAUGUUGGCUUAGAAGCAGCCACCAUUUAAAGAGUGCGUAAUAGCUCACUAGUCGAGUGACCCUGCGCCGAAAAUGUACCGGGGCUAAACAUAUUACCGAAGCUGUGGACUACACCAUUAGGUGUAGUGGUAGGAGAGCGUUCUAAGGGCGUUGAAGGUCGAUCGUGAGGACGGCUGGAGCGCUUAGAAGUGAGAAUGCCGGUAUGAGUAGCGAAAGACAGGUGAGAAUCCUGUCCACCGUAUGACUAAGGUUUCCUGGGGAAGGCUCGUCCGCCCAGGGUUAGUCGGGACCUAAGCCGAGGCCGAUAGGCGUAGGCGAUGGACAACAGGUUGAUAUUCCUGUACCAGUUGUUUUUGUUUGAGCAAUGGAGGGACGCAGUAGGCUAAGGAAUGCAUGCGAUUGGAAGUGCAUGUCCAAGCAAUGAGUCUUGAGUAGAGUUAAAUGCUUUACUCU
rnacentral:rRNA from 1 species